AGAAUUCCAAUCUUGGUUAGGUGCAGUUCCAAUCCUGCAACCAAACACUUAGUCAUCCGGAAAUUUAACUCUUUUUAAAAAAAAGAAAAAACAAAAACAUUUUUCUCGUCAAGCGGCUCUCUCUUCUCGGACAUAGGAGACUUUCAAUCUCUCUAACGAACGGACAAACAAACAAAUGGCUAACCUGAAAACUGAUUCUCCUCUUUCCCGUCGUAUUGUUCGCGCCUUCUUCGACUUCCUAGACUCUGUUCAACCUGCACCUGGUGUUGAUCUUGAAGGACUAGAUGUUGCUAGGGAAUGUUUGAAUGAGGUCUUUAAAAUUGAUUCAACAGCCGCCGAUGAUUCGAUAAAACCUGGUUUGUUGAUCGACUUAUUUCGUUCACUCGACGGAAAUGCAGAUCAAAAGAUUAAUUCAGAUUUGAGUCGUGGACCUACUCCAGUUAAUUCUCCUAAUUUAUCCCAUGCCCAGAAUGUUGGUGAUGUUAAUCUUUCACUGGAAUCUCACAAGCAGGGUGAUGAUUGGAUGGGACCAUCUUAUACAAUGGGGGAAUCCAAAGAUGAACUCUUUGGACAAUUUUGUGCUGCCCUUGAGAAAAUUCACUUUUUUAAGACAACUCCUGAUGGAAAUGAUGAUCCUGUCCAACUGGAUAAAGCAACACGCUUAUUUCAUGAUGCUCUAAAUGCAAUGGAAAAAGCUGGAUGCCAAUCAUUUAACCGGAACAGCCUGGCAGAGACAUUAAAGUCACAAGGUAACCAGGCAAUGCAGUCAAAGACAUACCCUGAUGCAAUUGAAUUGUAUUCUUGUGCCAUUUCUCUUUGUGAAAAUAAUGCUGUUUACUAUUGUAACAGGGCAGCUGCGUAUACUCAGAUCCACAAGUAUACUGAAGCAAUCAGAGAUUGUCUUAAAUCCAUCGAAAUUGACCCACAUUACAGUAAGGCAUACAGUCGUCUUGGACUAGCAUAUUAUGCUCAAGGGAACUACAGGGAUGCUAUUGAUAAAGGAUUUAGGAAAGCAUUAGAACUGGAUCCCCACAAUGAAUCGGUCAAAGAAAAUAUUCGGGUAGCUGAGCAAAAAUUGAAAGAAGAGCAGCAAUGGACUGGAAGGGAUCAGAUGAAUUUCUCUGGUCAAGAACCUAAUAACGAGUUUACAUCCAUGCCAUUCAACAUGAAUGGCAUUCCAGUUGAUUUUGCAAACAUGUUCCGCAACAUGGCUGCUCAAUUCACGGGAGAGCACCCUCAAGAGAGACAAGGGGAAGAUAGGAACGUUAAUGGAUCUGAAGACCCAGAAGUAAGACUAGGUGGGAAUAUCAACUUGAAUCUUGGAGAAAAUGUGCCUGAGGAACUAAGAGGAGCUUUGAGAUCAAUGAUGGGCAUGUUUUCCGGGGCAGCAACCCAUGGAAAUCCACAACCUCAAGAUACAAACACAACCGAUGGGAGAUCACCCCCGAACUAAACAUUUACAGCAAAGCUUGUAUCAUUAUCUUGUUUUUCCUCGUGGUAAUUGUUUUUAAUAUGUUCUGAGCUGUCAUAGGUAAUUUGCCACGUGUUGAGAGAAGAGAAGAGAAGAGAAGAGAAGAGAGUAGAAAAUAAAGGCACUUUUCGGCUCUUUGGGCCACAACCAAAUGGAUCUGUGCAGGGCGGGCCUAUUCAUACAGCUACUGGAAUACGUCAGAAUCAUUAUAGCAGUAAGAUUUUCUAGUGCGUCAUCAUGUAUAAUGUUGCAGAGGAGAUGGACAACAAAGCAUGUGGAAAAGUCUGCUUACGCUUAUCAGAUGCUGACUUCAUCUGGUAAAUACCACCAUAAUAAUAAUAAUAAUAAUAAUAAAAUAAUUUGUUUAUGAAAAAUAAGCUGUAAAUCUUAUCCCUACAUUUGACUAAAUUUACAGAACAUUAUAAAUUUGGAGAAGGAUGAUGAUCAAGUUUUGAAGCUAUUAUUAUGGCCUCUCUUGAUUUUUCCUUCUGAGAUACGACAUGAUGAUUUAUUUUUUGACAAAGUAAA